rnacentral:rRNA from 1 species
AGAGUUUGAUCAUGGCUCAGAUUGAACGCUGGCGGCAUGCCUUACACAUGCAAGUCGAACGGCAGCACGGGGGCAACCCUGGUGGCGAGUGGCGAACGGGUGAGUAAUACAUCGGAACGUGCCCAGUAGUGGGGGAUAGCCCGGCGAAAGCCGGAUUAAUACCGCAUACGACCUACGGGUGAAAGCGGGGGACCGCAAGGCCUCGCGCUAUUGGAGCGGCCGAUGUCAGAUUAGGUUGUUGGUGGGGUAAAAGCCUACCAAGCCGACGAUCUGUAGCUGGCCUGAGAGGACGACCAGCCACACUGGGACUGAGACACGGCCCAGACUCCUACGGGAGGCAGCAGUGGGGAAUUUUGGACAAUGGGGGCAACCCUGAUCCAGCCAUGCCGCGUGCGGGAAGAAGGCCUUCGGGUUGUAAACCGCUUUUGUCAGGGAAGAAAUCCCUUGGGCUAAUACCCCGAGGGGAUGACGGUACCUGAAGAAUAAGCACCGGCUAACUACGUGCCAGCAGCCGCGGUAAUACGUAGGGUGCAAGCGUUAAUCGGAAUUACUGGGCGUAAAGCGUGCGCAGGCGGUUGUGCAAGACAGAUGUGAAAUCCCCGGGCUCAACCUGGGAACCGCAUUUGUGACUGCACAGCUUGAGUGCGGCAGAGGGGGAUGGAAUUCCGCGUGUAGCAGUGAAAUGCGUAGAUAUGCGGAGGAACACCGAUGGCGAAGGCAAUCCCCUGGGCCUGCACUGACGCUCAUGCACGAAAGCGUGUGGAGCAAACAGGAUUAGAUACCCUGGUAGUCCACGCCCUAAACGAUGUCAACUGGUUGUUGGGAAGGUUCCUUCUCAGUAACGUAGCUAACGCGUGAAGUUGACCGCCUGGGGAGUACGGCCGCAAGGUGAACUCAAAGGAAUUGACGG